rnacentral:rRNA from 1 species
UACGUAGGAGACGAGCGUUGUCCGGAGUUACUGGGCGUAAAGGGUGCGCAGGCGGCCUGGCGCGUCGCGAGUGAAAUCUCCUGGCUCAACUGGGAGGGUGGUCGCGAGACGGCUGGGCUUUGAGGCUCGGUGAGGGGCGUGGAAUUCCGGGUGGAGCGGUGAAAUGCGUAGAGAUCCGGAGGAACACCGACGGCGUAGGGCAGCGCCCCUAGACGAGACCUGACGCCUCAGGCACGAAAGCGCGGGGAGCGAACG